UGGUCGUGAGGAGUUGCAAUUUG
rnacentral:miRNA from 15 species